rnacentral:tRNA from 1 species
GGGUAUAGUUCAGCUGGUAGAACGCCGGUCUCCAAAACCGUAUGUCGGGGGUUCGAGUCCUCUUACCC